rnacentral:rRNA from 1 species
UGGGGAAUAUUGGACAAUGGGCGGAAGCCUGAUCCAGCAACGCCGCGUGAGGGAUGACGGCCUUCGGGUUGUAAACCUCUUUCAGUACCGACGAAGCGGAAGUGACGGUAGGUACAGAAGAAGGACCGGCCAACUACGUGCCAGCAGCCGCGGUAAUACGUAGGGUCCGAGCGUUGUCCGGAAUUAUUGGGCGUAAAGGGCUCGUAGGCGGUUUGUCGCGUCGGGAGUGAAAACAGCGGGCUUAACUCGUUGCUUGCUUUCGAUACGGGCAGACUAGAGGUAUGCAGGGGAGAAUGGAAUUCCUGGUGUAGCGGUGAAAUGCGCAGAUAUCAGGAGGAACACCGGUGGCGAAGGCGGUUCUCUGGGCAUUACCUGACGCUGAGGAGCGAAAGUGUGGGGAGCGAACAGGAUUAGAUACCCUGGUAGUCCACACCGUAAACGUUGGGCGCUAGGUGUGGGGUCCUUUCCACGGAUUCCGUGCCGUAGCUAACGCAUUAAGCGCCCCGCCUGGGGAGUACGGCCGCAAGGCUAAAACUCAAAUGAAUUGACGGGGUCAUAGCUGUUU